rnacentral:rRNA from 1 species
GCCACGGCUAACUACGUGCCAGCAGCCGCGGUAAUACGUAGGUGGCAAGCGUUAUCCGGAAUUAUUGGGCGUAAAGCGCGCGUAGGCGGUUCUUAAGUCUGAUGUGAAAGCCCCCGGCUCAACCGGGGAGGGUCAUUGGAAACUGGGAAACUUGAGUGCAGAAGAGGAGAGUGGAAUUCCAUGUGUAGCGGUGAAAUGCGCAGAGAUAUGGAGGAACACCAGUGGCGAAGGCGGCUCUCUGGUCUGUAACUGACGCUGAGGUGCGAAAGCGUGGGGAUCAAACAGGAUUAGAUACCCUGGUAGUCCACGCCGUAAACGAUGAGUGCUAAGUGUUGGGGGGUUUCCGCCCCUCAGUGCUGCAGCUAACGCAUUAAGCACUCCGCCUGGGGAGUACGGUCGCA